GAGGAAAAGCAGAAACAGGUCUAGGACUCUAAGUCUAUGGGAGAACAUAGGACCUUUGCCGCACACCCACGAAUACGAAGACCUAGAGUCUACAGAUAGGGCGUCGGAUGGUGGACCCUACAGUGAGCUUUUCUCGUCAGAAACCUAGCUACUAAACGGAACCGAACAGGAUACAGAGCAAGUCUAGGUCGGUGGCAUCCUCCGUGGCGAUUGUUCUAACAAGUAGCGCGAAAACCCGGCGAGCAAUUUGAUUCAGUUAGCUGAUAGGUAGUGUGAGACACAGCGCUGAAAUACGCGGAGUCAGUAUUGAGAGUGAAGGCGUGAUACAUUGUAUAACCUGUUACCAGAUCUCUUUACCUCACAAAAUGGUAUUGCUGUUCGUGUGGUAGGCAAAGCGGCAUGCCAGAAGACACCCGCCGCCGGUAGCUAGUCUAUUUUGAUCUGUAUUUUACCUGCUUGUCCAGUCACAUAACGAUAAGACUAAGUGCUGUCAACGAAGCCUUUUGCCCGCAAACGUUUGACACUCUGGCUAUGGCGCAUGUACAGCAACGGCAUCAAAGCAUAGGCGGCGGGGCAGGGGGGCCGUAGCCCCCCCCCCAAAAAAAAAAGAAAAUAUUGGGAGCGCAGCCCCCCUUAUGAAAAUUGGAAAAUAUUCAAUCUCGUGAUCUUUUCUCAGUUCCUUAUACGAGCAUCACGCUUGAGGAAAUCAUGUGUUGUAAAACAUCUUUUUGUAAAGCUCCAGCUUGUGUUCAAGAAUCUUAUCAACGGAAGCAAUUUCAUUAAACUACACAGCACGUCUACGAAAUUAUACAAGAUGCAAUUUUGUCCCAAUCGAAUGGUACGCUGGAAAAUUUUAGGUUGUGCCGGAAAAAAUGAAAAUGAAAAGCGAGUACGGAUACACUCGAAACUGAUUGCAAAGACGUUUGCUUGUGCCAACGAACAACGCAAAGGGCAUUUUGAAAAAUUUUGAGGAUGGGUAUGCGCAUGGUUGGGUUAAAGAUAAGCCCCCUCCUCCCACGUUUCAAAAUGCUCCGCCGCCUCUGCAAAAGAUCAAAUGCCAGCUUCAUCUCAAGCAUUGCUAUCCACGUACGACUGAGUUAGCGGUCUUGAAAGCGAAAAAGUUGGAAUCUUGCCUGUUAUUUUUAAGUUCCAACUUGUCGUAAGAGUUUAUUUCACUUCAUUCCUCUAAGCUUGCGUUGAAGCGUUUCUGAGGCCUUUCAACGCCUUCUUGCAGACAAAAUUGAACCUCCAUUUAAUAGAAUAGAAUAUUUAUUGAGUCACGAUAGAUCGUGCCCAUUGUGCCCGAGAAACUCAGUUCUUUUUAAAAUGGGUUUAGUUUCGACGUGAUGUCACCCUUCAAUGUUUUAGUGUCAGAAAUGUAGUUUAAUCUAGCCUUCCAUUGUCGAAGUUGGCAUCAUGAAGAUUAAUUGAUUGAAAGUCAUACAUUUUCUGCUUUUCUUUGCGCGUGCUCGCUGAUAACUGACAAUAGGUCGUUCCAUAGAGUUUGAAACAGAACUACUGAGUAGGGUGGGAACUUCUUGGACACGGUGUUUCUUCACGGGGGGUGACAACUCUAACAAACGCUGUUUCGGGACAAAGCCAAAGUUGUUCCGGGAAUCUGGAGAUUUUUCCGGGAAUCGGGACACUUGGAAAUUUUACCGGAAAACACGCGAUAAUUCCGGGACAUUGCAGAAAAAAAAAAAAUGGGACAUCGAAGGAAUUUUUGUCUCACGUUUUUAUUUACAUUAAACUCGGUAAGUUAGGCAUGAAAUCUUCUGUAAAUGAAAACAUUCAAACAGCCUUUGGAGUGUUGGGUCGGCGUAUUUUAUUGCUGAUGGUGGCAGUCUUCGUCUAAACACACCAACGCAAGUUUCAUUCAGAAUUGGAUGGAGACCCUCCGCAACGGCCACGAAGCUUACGGUUUAACUGAAAAGAGACUUGGAGAAAUUUACAAAUGUAAGGUCAGAGCUAUGGAUUACCCGUCAAAGAUUAAAGCGUUGGAGCAAAGAAGCAGCUAUUUUGAAAAGUGGCAAAAUGAAGUCGCCGAAAGGUUACCGGGAAAGAAGACCGCCAGCAUGGAAAAGUAUGGUACCCCUAGAACGAAAACCAUGGAGAAUACAAGGAUAUCCUGAGAAGGGAAGAGAAGCAUAGAAGGUCUUCAAAGAGAACAUGGUCUUGAAAGUAGACUAAAUGAGUUCCAGUUCACUUCUGUUACAACGCUUCGUACAGAAGGCAUGUUCGGAGUAUACAACCGAGAUCAGGUGGUUCCAUCUGCACUUGAAUUUAAAUAUCUUUCUUCUCGCAGUGCAUUGGAAUGUGCAAUGGAAUCCGUUAUGGGGCUUGGAUUUAAGAGGAAGAGAGAGACGCGUUAUGAACACAGAGAUGACUGCCAAAUGCCAUUGCUCUACACAAAGCGGAAAGAUGAUUGUUCUUUUAUAAAGGAAAGUUCGCGGGUAAAGAAAGAGGCGUCAGAAAUGCGGGACUUUUGCCGUGUGUACGGAAAGGGUGUUAAAGUUAGUGGAGUGAGACAAAUCUACAAGCAGAGGCCAGGCUCUCUUCCUUUAUACUGCCGAAAAGCCAAAAGCCACGGUGACAUUGCACGAUGAAGAAAGUGCUCCUUUGUUGCAGUGGUUAUAUUCUGUGACAAAACAAAAUGGAGGCAAAAGAGCUGAAAGGGCGAAAGGCAAAGAACCACGUGUGUCUACUGAGCAAUCAUCCGAAGCCAGUGAGAAAAGUGUGAUGGUGGUUGGUCAUCGAGUAACCAAAGACGGCGUGGAGUACCCAGUGAAGGGCACACAAGAGCCUGACAGUGCCGGAAUGUGGAUCCCAAGAGAAAAUGUCCCUGCCCGUCGGGAAAUCUUGUGAAUAAGUAAAUAAAUCUCGCUCUUGUCGCGGCACACACAAGACGGCAGAGGGCUUCUCGUUGCUCAACGUAGUCAACGGAACAUUUCAGGCUUCUUUUACUCGUACACGUUAGCGCAACUAAUACCUCAUUAUAGGAAAUGAACGAUGCAUGCCAUGCAACGAAAAUACGGCCAUUUUAAAGAUGUUUUGUUUUUUUGUUAAUUAAAAUUGAAAUGUUUUACUGUAAAGACGCUAUUCAUGGUUAAAGUAAUGCUAAACAUGCAAAACGUGUAAUAUUUAAGGUUACACAUGUAGUAAUAAACGAUUAAUCUUAGAAUAUAUGCCGGGAAUUCUAAAAAUUUCCUGGUAAGUAUCGCAAACAUUCGGGAGGAUGAUCCAAAUUUCCGGGACUACUUAAGUUAAGACCUAGUAUUGCUCAAACAGCGUUUGUUAGAGUUGUCACCCCCCGUUUUCUUCCCCUAGACUGGCACGUCGCGGAAAUGAAAGGGAUUUCAUUCUUAGUAAAGAGGAGUCGUAUCAAGGAGGUGAUCAAAUGUAGGGUAGGGUUCUACUGACUGUACCAAAAUCAAUUCGCAUGAUUUUCUCCAAGUGUCGGGUUAUAAAAUUCAUUCUGUUAGAGAUUGCCUUAUCGCGGCAGCAUAUUUUUAGGUUAGUACUAACUUUAAACAUGAGUUUUACUUUUUUUAAGCUAGAUUGUGUACAGAAUGAGUUAUUUAAUAUUUUUACGAUGGUCAAAGAUUGUUCAUAUUCACGUUUUUGGAGGUCAUAUAUUUAAAAUUCUUUAACCAAUGUGAAAUUGGAAUUCACGUGAUGUUGAUUUAUCGUAGGUAACGUGCAUUAUACACUUUCGCGUUGGAUCACGACGUUUUGACUGCAUACUGUAAGUUUUAUUUACGCAGUGAGGUCGUCAGAAGUGGUCUAAAGGACCUUAAGGGCACUUUCUCGCGUAGGGAACUUUAUUCGAAAUGCGCCAAUCACAACUGUGGAAAACCAGCCAAUUACAGCUGGGUAGAACAGUCCACGAGGUAACACAUAUCCAGUGGACCUCUCACCUGAAGAAGACUAGUCGAAACGUCGUGAUCCACAUCGGAAGUGACCUCAUGGUGAGACAAACAGCUAGGUUUCCAGACCAUUUAAUUAAAAGAGAGAUUAUGUUUCGAUAGUGCUGCAAUUUGUGACGCGGGCGUCAUGAAAAAUUGUAGGAACUAAAGUUCAGCUCCCAGUUGAAACAUGUUUGUGACAGGUAUUGAAGAUGACAGUUUGCCCAUACUUCCCACAAUUUUGACCACAGAAGUAUCUAGUGGACCCUAAGUGAUGGUUUUUAACAAUUUUCAGUUUGUUCGAGAGCAAAAGAUUAUAUCUUUUUACAGCUGAAGGUGUAACAGGGAAAUAAUUUUAUUAUAGGCGGAUUGUUAGAUAACAGAUGGCUAUCGAUGACAGCUUUGAGGUGAAUGCUUAGUAUUCACGACAGUAGUUCAUCAAUAGAAAUUACUUUUUAAUAAUCAAUUUGUGAUUUGCUGAAGAUAAACUUUAGUUUGAAGCAUUAAAUGUAUUUUUGGACAACUUA
rnacentral:lncRNA from 1 species